rnacentral:rRNA from 1 species
CGGGACACGUGGUAUCCUGUCUGAAUAUGGGGGGACCAUCCUCCAAGGCUAAAUACUCCUGACUGACCGAUAGUGAACCAGUACCGUGAGGGAAAGGCGAAAAGAACCCCGGCGAGGGGAGUGAAAAAGAACCUGAAACCGUGUACGUACAAGCAGUGGGAGCACAGAGCAAUCUGUGUGACUGCGUACCUUUUGUAUAAUGGGUCAGCGACUUAUAUUCUGUAGCAAGGUUAACCGAAUAGGGGAGCCGAAGGGAAACCGAGUCUUAACUGGGCGUUAAGUUGCAGGGUAUAGACCCGAAACCCGGUGAUCUAGCCAUGGGCAGGUUGAAGGUUGGGUAACACUAACUGGAGGACCGAACCGACUAAUGUUGAAAAAUUAGCGGAUGACUUGUGGCUGGGGGUGAAAGGCCAAUCAAACCGGGAGAUAGCUGGUUCUCCCCGAAAGCUAUUUAGGUAGCGCCUCGUGAAUUCAUCUCCGGGGGUAGAGCACUGUUUCGGCAAGGGGGUCAUCCCGACUUACCAACCCGAUGCAAACUGCGAAUACCGGAGAAUGUUAUCACGGGAGACACACGGCGGGUGCUAACGUCCGUCGUGAAGAGGGAAACAACCCAGACCGCCAGCUAAGGUCCCAAAGUCAUGGUUAAGUGGGAAACGAUGUGGGAAGGCCCAGACAGCCAGGAUGUUGGCUUAGAAGCAGCCAUCAUUUAAAGAAAGCGUAAUAGCUCA